rnacentral:rRNA from 1 species
UACGUAGGGGGCUAGCGUUGUCCGGAAUCAUUGGGCGUAAAGAGCGUGUAGGCGGCUCGUUAAGUCCGCUGUGAAAGUCCAGGGCUCAACCCUGGAAUGCCAGUGGAAACUGUCGAGCUAGAGUCCGGAAGAGGCGAGUGGAAUUCCUGGUGUAGCGGUGAAAUGCGCAGAUAUCGGGAAGAACACCCGUGGCGAAGGCGGCACUCUGGGACGGUACUGACGCUGAGACGCGAAAGCGUGGGGAGCGAACAGG